GACGAACGCUGGCGGCGUGCCUAAUACAUGCAAGUAGAACGCUGAAGGAGGAGCUUGCUUCUCUGGAUGAGUUGCGAACGGGUGAGUAACGCGUAGGUAACCUGCCUGGUAGCGGGGGAUAACUAUUGGAAACGAUAGCUAAUACCGCAUAAGAGUAGAUGUCGCAUGACAUUUGCUUAAAAGGUGCAAUUGCAUCACUACCAGAUGGACCUGCGUUGUAUUAGCUAGUUGGUGAGGUAACGGCUCACCAAGGCAACGAUACAUAGCCGACCUGAGAGGGGGAUCGGCCACACUGGGACUGAGACACGGCCCAGACUCCUACGGGAGGCAGCAGGAGGGAAUCGUCGGCAAUGGACGGAAGUCUGACCGAGCAACGCCGCGUGAGUGAAGAAGGUUUUCGGAUCGUAAAGCUCUGUUGUAAGAGAAGAACGAGUGUGAGAGUGGAAAGUUCACACUGUGACGGUAUCUUACCAGAAAGGGACGGCUAACUACGUG
rnacentral:rRNA from 1 species